CCAUUUCUGAUCUGUUUCUGCUUUAUGUUCUCUAUCAUUACAUAAGUAACACAAUGUAUUAAUUUGUAUACUUUAAUUUUUUUACAAAUGUAGCAAUUAGUUUUUUUUUUUUUUUUUAGUUCUAGUUGCAACAUUUGUAAAAAUGUACUCCAGGCUGGAGUGCAGUGGCAUGAUCUCAGCUCACAAGCAAUUCUCCAGCCUUAGUCUCCAGAGUAUCUGGGAUUACAGGCAUGUGCCACCACGCCUGGUUAAUUUUUGUAUUUUUAGUAGAGAUGGGUUUUCACUAUGUUGGUCAAGCUGGUCUUGAACUCCUGACCUUGUGAUACGCCCCCGGGCCUCCCAAAGUGCUGGGAUUACAGGCAUGAGCCACUGCACCUGGUCAGUUCACACUGUAUUUUUGUCUCUCCAUGCUGAUAUGAAUAAUCAUAGUAACUACCUCUUUCUUUCUAAACCUUAUAGUGUUCAUUUCUUUUACUUAUUUAUUGUGUUGACUGGGUGCUGAAGAACAAUGUUGAAUAGAUGUGGUAACAGCAGAAAAAUCAAUUAUAUCCCUGACUAUAUGAAAACAAAAACAGAGAUCAGAAGCACAGUAGAGGCAUUCCCGGGGAAGAGGACGACGUCAUCUUCCAAAAGCCAGAUUGCCAGGCUGCAGCCAGGGUGGGAGCCUACUGUGGUGGGAAUGGGGCUGCCAUCUUUCUCUCCCUUUCAUAUUCUGACUGCUUGCAUUUCUGCCCACUGGGCAGCCGUUGGCUCCUCCAGAGUUGGAGUGAAAAGAAGAGAUACAUGA
rnacentral:lncRNA from 13 species